rnacentral:rRNA from 1 species
UGGGGAAUUUUGGACAAUGGGCGAAAGCCUGAUCCAGCAAUGCCGCGUGUGUGAAGAAGGCCUUCGGGUUGUAAAGCACUUUUGUCCGGAAAGAAAAUCCUUGGCUCUAAUACAGUCGGGGGGAUGACGGUACCGGAAGAAUAAGCACCGGCUAACUACGUGCCAGCAGCCGCGGUAAUACGUAGGGUGCAAGCGUUAAUCGGAAUUACUGGGCGUAAAGCGUGCGCAGGCGGUUUGCUAAGACCGAUGUGAAAUCCCCGGGCUCAACCUGGGAACUGCAUUGGUGACUGGCAGGCUAGAGUAUGGCAGAGGGGGGUAGAAUUCCACGUGUAGCAAGUGAAAAUGCGUAGAGAUGUGGAGGAAUACCGAUGGCGAAAGGCAGCCCCCCUGGGGCCAAAUAACUGACGCUCAUGCACGAAAAGCGUGGGGAGCAAAACAGGAUUAGAUACCCUGGUAGUCCACGCCCUAAAACGAAUGUCAACUAGUUGUUGGGGAAUUCAUUUCCUUAGUAAACGUAGCUAACGCGUGAAGUUG